GACGAACGCUGGCGGCGUGCCUAAUACAUGCAAGUAGAACGCUGAAGGAGGAGCUUGCUUCUCUGGAUGAGUUGCGAACGGGUGAGUAACGCGUAGGUAACCUGCCUGGUAGCGGGGGAUAACUAUUGGAAACGAUAGCUAAUACCGCAUAAGAGUAGAUGUUGCAUGACAUUUGCUUAAAAGGUGCAAUUGCAUCACUACCAGAUGGACCUGCGUUGUAUUAGCUAGUUGGUGGGGUAACGGCUCACCAAGGCGACGAUACAUAGCCGACCUGAGAGGGUGAUCGGCCACACUGGGACUGAGACACGGCCCAGACUCCUACGGGAGGCAGCAGUAGGGAAUCUUCGGCAAUGGACGGAAGUCUGACCGAGCAACGCCGCGUGAGUGAAGAAGGUUUUCGGAUCGUAAAGCUCUGUUGUAAGAGAAGAACGAGUGUGAGAGUGGAAAGUUCACACUGUGACGGUAUCUUACCAGAAAGGGACGGCUAACUACGUGCCAGCAGCCGCGGUAAUACGUAGGUGGCAAGCGUUAUCCGGAUUUAUUGGGCGUAAAGAGAGUGCAGGCGGUUUUCUAAGUCUGAUGUGAAAGCCUUCGGCUUAACCGGAGAAGUGCAUCGGAAACUGGAUAACUUGAGUGCAGAAGAGGGUAGUGGAACUCCAUGUGUAGCGGUGGAAUGCAUAGAUAUAUGGAAGAACACCAGUGGCGAAGGCGGCUACCUGGGUCUGCACUGACGCUGAGACUCGAAAGCAUGGGUAGCGAACAGG
rnacentral:rRNA from 1 species